GGGGCAGCACGCUGCCUCACGGGCCUGGCCUAUGCCUGCACCUUGCGGGAGGGGCACGGGCGGCCGAGGUGCCUCGGCCCCGGCCCUAGGCGGACGGAAGAACAUAUGGACGAUGUAUGGACGCCUCGACGCGAGGCUGGAAGCUCUUUUCCGUGCGCCGUGUCCUCCUGCUGGCGUCACGUUUCCACAGAUGCUGCCUGGCACCUGGACUUCGUGGUCCCUUCCAGGCCACACCUUCUCCUGCUGUAUGGAAGCUGUGUUGAAGUUAUGAGUGAACAGGGCAGCACAGACCGCAGGACACGGGUGCUCCAGGCACCCAAUGGGCUGGACACAAAGGAAAGCAAGCAAGUAGCACAGUGCUUAACCCCACUCUGCAGCUGGCCAGCAGCAAGGAGACUUAAGGCCAGGUUUUUCAGAGCUGCUUAGUUGUUUGAAGAUGUGGCCUCGUCCCACUAGGCACAUAACCUUCUCCCGAAAACCUGCUCCUCAGUGGUAGCCCAGCACCACAUGAGCAGGUGCUGCAACCCAGUUCCCUGUGGCCACUCUAGCCAGGCAGGCCAUGGGCAGUACAAAGAGCAGGAGGAAUGUCACAUCUCUGGCCUUCAUGGAGCAAGGCAGGUGGCUUCCUACUGUGUUUGGUGUGGCAGGGAAUGUCAGGCGAUGCAGUGGGAUUUAUAUGUCAUUAGCUUCCCUCUGCUCUAAUCCUUAAACUGCUGCUAAAACUGCACACUCAGAUCACCAUAUUGUGACUGGAAAAUUAAUCAUGUCAGAACACUGCUUAUCCUAAUCAAGUUAUAAGCCUGGAAUUGAAUUAUAAAAAACAGAUGUUUACAUUCUUUCUCCCCUUCAGCACUGAUGUCAUGAGAAGGAAACACAGAACCAGAGCUGUGCAAAGCAUUCACAAUAAAACACCUAACCAUGGAAAACUUGCCUCAUCUGCAGCUCUGCUAACAAAAAAAUUCCGACCAGGUUAUUGGCAUAGACAGAAGCUGGAUCCAGAACUGUUUGGAUCUCUUCACACUCAUGACUGAUUGAAUUCUCAUCAGUUCAGCUCAUCAGCCUCAUGGUUACUGCUUUCUUUUAAAACUCAGUCUGCAUCCAGAAAUGUUGGCUUAGAUAAUUAAUGCUUUACAGCAGUAUCAAAGCAGACAGAGCUAAGGAUGCAAGAGUCUGUCCUGCUCUGGGUCUGGCAGUUCCCUAAAGAGCCUAUGGCAAGGAUUCAUGGAGGAACAAGAUGGUAUCUCCUAGGUAAAGCCAAAAGCAGCAGGUCUUAUCCACCUCCCGCUGAAUGAGCGCUGCUUGGCUGGCAAAGUACUCGGACUCUGUCUCAGGCACAGGGCCAGGAGACACACUUUGUGGGCUGCCAGGACUGACCAUUAUUGCCCACCCUCCACCUCCUUGCCCCUCCACAUGCUUUGCAGGGCCCUGAGUCUGGUGAGAGACCAGCUACAGCCCCAGUGUCCUCAGAAUGCUCUGUCCAUGUAACACCUGCCAACUAACAGAAGUUACGUGAGAAGUUAUAAACUCAUUUACAUUGACAAGAUUUCAAGCUUGAGUAGGUUUCAAGCUGAGCCAGAAGGCAAUGGAAUCAUAUGCACUGAUGCCCACAGCUGCAGCCAGGCUUCUAGGUGAAUGCUGCAGGCCCUUCAGAGUUACCUUACAGAAAGCACACUGACACCAUUGGCAACUUCACGGGCAUGAACUGAGGCCCCCUGCAACACUAGAAUGCUGUCAGUGCAGCACAGCAAACAGCUGUGGAGCAGCAGUGUGACAGGCACAUAGUUGUGGUCGCCAGGCUCCCCAGCUGAAAUCAGAGCACAGCAAUGAUGUCACUGGUUCAGGCACUCGGACUAAAGUGAAACUUGCCAAUGCCAGAUCACAGGCCAAGUUUCUUCUAUGAAGAUGAACUCGCGAGAGAGAAAUUUGGUGUAAGGCCACACCACAGUGGCACAUGAGACAAGCAAGUCCACUCUCCCUGUGCUUGGUGGAGCAUUAAGUGAUGCUUUGGUUAUUGCUUGUGGUUUGUCUCUGGUCCAGAAGAGAUCGCUGCAUGUUCUCAUUACUUUGUGUAACAUUACAAGCUCUGAAGAACCUCAGUGGCUCUUUAUAACUUUACUUCCUCAAUCACUAAUAUCAGCUGGGCUGGGAGAAUUAAUUGAUCUGCAAUGACAGCUGCUGGCAUGCACACAAGGAAAUGCUCUGAGUUUCCAUAAGAAAAGCAUCAUGGCUGUACUUCGCAAGACAAGUUCCUACUGAGAUGCUCCAUUCUCACCAUCUGCUCAAGUAAGAGUUAACCAAUGCCCUCAGGUUCCUGAGUUGAAGAAUCUAAAAGCAAAAAGCUGCCUGUUGUGCAGAAAGGAGCCAGAAAUAAGCCACUAAAUAUAAACAGCAACUCACUUCAAUUCUGCCUGAACUGAAGCUCCCUGAGAUUAAGAGAUCUCUUCCUUUCCAUUCUCAGCAACCUUUGGAUCAUCAGCUGUUUGUGCAGGCAGUGUGACCAUAGCCCAGAAUAAACUGGGGCUCAGUAUGUGACUGCUUUAAUCUACCCAACAAUAAUCAGCUAAACUUCUUCAUGGCACCUAAUUAUGAAUCUCCAUCAUGAGGUUUUCUGUAUAUAAUGGUGAGGAUGUCAAAUAUAUUGCCAUACGUAAUAUUUUUUUUAAGAGUCCUGUGCAGCUUAUUCCAGUCUCUGUCUGUGCCCACUGACGAAUGCAAUCAUUUUCAGGUUUUAGAAUCCUUUCAGUAAAACAUGGCCUCUCUUCUCUCCGAGACUUGAAAAAUAGCAGAAACUGAGGGAAAAUAUGCUUUACUUGUUUGUCAGCAAAAUUUUGUCUAAAUUAAAUGGAAUUUCCCAGUUAUAGAAAACAUUUUACUCUUAAGAAAACUUGUUCCUGCUAAUAAACUUUCACUUAUUCUUUUGUAGAUUUUUUAUGUUUGUUUUUCUUCUAGGGGGAAAUGGUUUAAUUGCAGCUUAUGACACAUUUCAGCUGUCUGUAAAACACAUAUUAUAUUUGCUCAGUCUUCCUGAACUGUUGUAAAAAUAAGAACUUCAUGCUGUAAAAAAUUCACACAGUGAAUUCCAUGCAGUGGAUUUUCCAGUUAUAUCUCCUGAAUGCUGUGACAAAAUUUAUUCCUGCUUAAUAUCACUGAUGGCAAUGACAGAGAUUGUGAUUUGUUUUGUGAUAAGAGCUCUUCUGCCUUUUUGGGGGCUUCUUUCAGUCCUUCAAGUUACUCUUUCUUGCAAUUAAAGUUUUUAUUUUAUUAUCUUUUGCUCUUGGUAAAGUGUUUCUAAAUCUACUCAUCAAAGCCACAAUAAAUACAAGAUGGGAGAAAUAUCGUA
ensembl:lncRNA